GUCACUUUGUCUUUAUGGCAAAUGUGAGAUGCAGUGUAUGGAAUGUCAAAUUUCUAGUAUGAGAAAUUAACUAUUUAAGUCCUUCUUAAAUGAGGCCAUUUACCCAUAGAGGGUGCCAGGCCCGUAUAAAGUUAAUGAUUACUAGAUGGCAUUUCCAAAGAGUCGUGUUGCUUGAUAGUGCAGCACUAAGUUGGUGGUAAACUCCAUCUAAAACUAAAUAUAACCAUGAGACCGAUAGUAAACAAGUACCGUGAGGGAAAGUUGAAAAGAACUCUGAAUAGAGAGUUAAAUAGUACGUGAAACUGCUUAGAGGUUAAGCCCGAUGAACCUGAAUAUCCAUUAUAGAAAAUUCAUCAUUAUGAUUUUAAUAUUAAUAAUAUUAUAAUAAUGGUGUGCAUUUUUUCUAUAACGGACAUUGUAAUCUAUUAACAUAAAUAUAUUUAUCAUAAGAUCAAUGAUGCGUAAGUUUAUUCAAAUUAUUUUGCUUGCAAUUUAACAUAGAAUAAAUGCUCUUGAUUUGAUAAAGUGUUGAUAGAUUUAUUGUAUAUAGUGCUUAAAUAUUUAUAUUUUAUAAUAGCAUAUUAAUCAUUGAUUUUUAUGUUUAUUAUAUGCACUUAUAUGAUUAACAAUGCGAAAGAUUCAGGAUACCUUCGGGACCCGUCUUGAAACACGGACCAAGGAGUCUAACAUAUUUGCAAGUUAUUGGGUAUCCAAAACCUAAUAGCGAAAUUAACAUAACUUAAUGGGAUUAGUUUUUAGAUUAUUUAUAGUCUAUUAAUUCAAUCCCGGGGCGUUCUAUAUAGUUAUGUAUAAUAAUAUUUAUAUUAUUUAUACCUCUAACUAGAGCGUACCUUGAGCAUAUAUGCUGUGACCCGAAAGAUGGUGAACUAUACUUGAUCAGGUUGAAGUCAGGGGAAACCCUGAUGGAAGACCGAAACAGUUCUGACGUGCAAAUCGAUUG
rnacentral:rRNA from 1 species